GCCUGGGUGGCUCAGUCGGUUGAGCGCCGACUUCGGCUCAGGUCACGAUCUCGCGGUCCGUGGGUUCGAGCCCCGCAUCGGGCC
rnacentral:tRNA from 1 species